rnacentral:tRNA from 1 species
UCCCGGGUGGUCUAGAGGCAAGACUGCUGAUUUUGGUUCAGUCAACGGAGGUUCGAUUCCUCCCCCGGGAGC